rnacentral:rRNA from 1 species
UACGUAGGGGGCAAGCGUUGUCCGGAAUCAUUGGGCGUAAAGCGCGUGUAGGCGGCCCGGUAAGUCCGCUGUGAAAGUCGGGGGCUCAACCCUCGAAUGCCGGUGGAUACUGUCGGGCUAGAGUGCGGGAGAGGCGGAGUGGAAUUCCUGGUGAUAGCGGUGAAUGACGCAGAUAUCAGGAGGAACACCAAUUGCGAAGGCAGCUCGCUGGAACGUAACUGACGCUGAGACGCGAAAGCGUGGGGAGCAAACAGG